GCCGCCGGGGCUGGGGGCUGCCGCCGCCGCGCCGGGAAGGGGGAGGCCCCGCCCCCAGCGGCUGUCAUGGCAACGGGGCGGUGCCGGGCAGUGGCCUCACCCCCAUCCGGGGCUCGCCGUGUCCUGUGCAGCUUCGCGGGUGCCGAUAAAGUUGGGGCGAUUGAAGCGGGGAGCCACGCCCUGUUCCCACCCCCCCCUCCUUGGCCCAUCCCCUUCCUUUGCGUCGCUUCCUCCCCGCCACCGAGAAGGCUAAGAUGGCGGCAGGCGAGGCGGGCGGAGCAGCCAAUGGGGUGGCUGAGGAGGGCCUGGGGGCGGGGCCGAAGCGCUAGCAGGGUUGGUCGGCGCGCACGCGGCGGCGCUGCGGUAUUUCAAAAGGUGGUGUGUUGGACAACGGCUUCCUACAGAAUACUGGGACUGCAGUUGUUAGUGCUGUUUUAUGCUGCGGAAUAAUAUUGGUUAUAACUAUGUAAUUCCAAAUUCGUUUUCCCUAGAAAUGUGAUGUAUAUCCAGAAAUAAGCAGAAACAUGAGGUCCUCUCCUAAUAUGCUUGGUAUUAUCUGGGUGUGUGGAAACUUUGUUCUAACAACUCAGCAGUGUUAGUGCUUGUUAUUUCCUAAUAUUUUUAAAGGAUUUCCUGUUUUAGAGUGAUCAUCAGAUUCUGUGAUGUGUGUGUGCAAAGCAGCUCCAAUAGGAUAGUUGUUAUUAAACAAAAUACACAUGACUGUAAUUAACUGCAGUUUAUCCCAUGGAUUGUUUUCUAUGUCCCAAUCUUAUAUAGUGCUUGUUUAAAGCUUUCCUGUUUUUAAAGAAAAAGGAAUAGGCACCUAUGUGCAUUUUCCUCUAAAUGUCUUUUUAUGGGGCCAGGGGACAGCCCCGUGGGGAAGGUGAGCCCAGGACUCUGCAGCAGCCCUGUGCAGGCAUGGGCAGUGAAGUGGGGCCUGGUCUGUUCCUCUGUGUUCCCAGAAUUUUUGGAAACAAUUUUCUUGUUACUGCACAGGAAUUGUGCUGUAGUUGGGAAUGAGAGAAAAUGUUCGGGUAGCUUUUUAAAUGCCUUAAGUACAAGGUGAUUUUUUCACUGCAUCUCAGAAUAGGAUCCCUUGCUGGGCAACCUGAAGGUCUGGACUCUGCGCUGACCACGAGGAAGGUCUUGCGUACAACAGAGUGCAGUUAAGUAAAGACUGUCAUUGCUUKUUGGCAGUGCUUCCCAGUUAGGGACAUGUGGAGGUCAGGCCAAGUGUAGGAGACAAGUGUGUUUUGUGCCUU
rnacentral:lncRNA from 1 species